CCAGGCUAUUGUUUAUUAUCAUCUCUGCACGGUUGGGCCUGAGAUAUGCUAAAGAAAACAACUACAAAUUCAAGGAAUAGACAAAUACCUCCUUUCCCCUCUGCUCGACCACAGUCUGGGCAGACCCACCAUUUACAUGGAGAUGGCAGUCACCAACACCAUGAGGUAGACUGUGCAGAGAGAGAACACGGAGACGCGUCAUUUUCACCAGGCCACCGGCUUCCACGGUCCUUCAUACAUCAGUGCUUCCGCGGCCACAGCAAACCCUUUUCCUCCUGCUCUUAAGAAACUGCUCAUUACAACUUCAGUUAGAAGGCACCGGUGGAACAGAGGAAGGUUACCACCCACCCAGCAAUCAUCUCCUGCUGCCUGAGCCCUUUUGGAGAUGCAGUCAUCAGCACUGAACCACAGGAGCAUCAGCAGCAUAAAGGCAUU